rnacentral:tRNA from 1 species
GGUUAUGGUUCAGUGGUAGAGCGAUUGCCUAGCACGUACGAGGCCCUGGGUUCAAUCCUCAGCACCA